GGCUAGUGGAAGAGGCAGGAGUGAUCGAUUUUUAAGUGUCGCGCCGUGAUGUGUUGUUAAAGAUUUGUUGAGUGUAACUUGUUGAGUGCAACGUUAUAUUGCGUAAAGUUAUUAGCAACUUCGUGCGUGUGGUUAAAAUUGUGCAGGUUUGUGGCAUUCUGCGGAGCCGUACACAUCACACCAAGAGUCAACGAUCGCUUCUGACCCCACCGUCAGCUACGAGGGUUUUCCCGGAAGUUCGUCAACCGGAAGAGGGUUUGCGAACAUUCAUCGCGCCCUAGGCAAGGCUAGCAGAUACCCGGAUUCAUCGCGAAAUUGCGCCAAUCGUCUACAAUUCAUCGCCGCGACGACCGUACCCGUUCAUCGCCGCCGCGUGAAGCCCACAGACCGGAGGGAAUCAUCUGCGUCAACGUCAUCGACGCGAACAUCAAUCAACGCGUCCGUUCGAAUGAACGACCGUUUGAUUCCCGUAAAAUCCCCUUCAAGCGUACGCAAACCGUGAGUAAAUCAUGCAUGAUUAGAUAAGUCCAUGCGCAUGGCUCAGUUCCCGCCGCUACCGAAGAACUAACAGUAAGUAGCGUGCCAAUCGAAACUUUCACGUGGCUGUCCUUAGUCCCCGCGCUUGCGCUGACAGCCACGCUUCUGAGCACACACACGACCAACCAAAUGAACACCGCACGUAAAGCACUCAACACACGCCCCGAAUGAAGACAGAGGUAGAUAGAGAAAGAGAGUAGCAAGGGAAAGCACACAGUAGGCCUAGGCAGAAGUAGUAUGUAGAAGCAUAAAUACGAAAUACAUGUAUGAAUUGGAUGAACAUUUGUAGUGGGAUGUUAUUAUUGUAAUGCUGGUAGAGUAAAUGCAGGCGAACCGCCGUUUAAGGAAAACCUAUCCCGAAUAGCAUGUGACA